rnacentral:rRNA from 1 species
AACGAACGCUGGCGGCAUGCCUAACACAUGCAAGUCGAACGAGACCUUCGGGUCUAGUGGCGCACGGGUGCGUAACGCGUGGGAACCUGCCCUUAGGUUCGGAAUAACUCCCCGAAAGGGGUGCUAAUACCGGAUAAUGUCUUCGGACCAAAGAUUUAUCGCCUUUGGAUGGGCCCGCGUUGGAUUAGCUAGUUGGUAGGGUAAAAGCCUACCAAGGCGACGAUCCAUAGCUGGUCUGAGAGGAUGAUCAGCCACACUGGGACUGAGACACGGCCCAGGCCGCGAGGGAAGAGUGGAGAAGGGGGUAAUGGGGGAGGAACGAGAGUCCAAGAAAGCAGUGCGGGGUGAGAGAGAAAGGGGUUAGGAUAGCAAAGCCGUGUGACACGAAGUGUGAGUGACGGUAAUGGGGAAAGAAGCACCGGCUAACUCCGUG